rnacentral:rRNA from 1 species
UACGAAGGGGGGCUAGCGUUGUUCGGAAUCACUGGGCGUAAAGCGCACGUAGGCGGAUUGUUAAGUCGGAGGUGAAAUCCCAGGGCUCAACCCUGGAACUGCCUUCGAUACUGGCUAUCUCGAGUCCGGGAGAGGUGAGUGGAACUGCGAGUGUAGAGGUGAAAUUCGUAGAUAUUCGCAAGAACACCAGUGGCGAAGGCGGCUCACUGGUCCGGUACUGACGCUGAGGUGCGAAAGCGUGGGGAGCGAACAGG